UUUUCCCAUUCCUCUAAAUGGUUUGAUUUAGUAUGUGUGUUAUUUUUGAAAACAUAUGUUGGGAUGUCACAAAUGAAUUUAGUCUACAGAGAUUUAUAUUCAACUUUUGACCAGAGAAUUCCAUUCUAAUGUGACACUGAGAAUUAAAAACUGUCUUUUCCUUUUUACCUAUUUCUCUUCCUACAUUCUCUGCCAGGUGGAAGGCACCGCUACGUACCCAGUCUUCCCCAGCAGAGCCUUUGCAGCUCUGUUUUCCCUCUACUUCCCCUCUCACAUCUCAUGACCAAGCACUUCCUAUUCUAUCUCCCAAAUGAGCACAAAACUUUUUUCCGCCGCUUUUGUCACUCCCACUGCCUUUAGCAUUACUCUUCCUUUAGACUAAAGUCUCUUAAUUGGUCUUGUUGCUUCCUUCAGUUCUUCCUUAUUAUACAAACCACUACACACACAUCUGACAGAGACUUCUUACCUUUGUAUUGUUAAAUGACUCAAAUUCUCAGAAUAAAAUUAA